AUUUCAAAUAAGAUGAUGGACUGGGAGUGCAGGGUGUGCAAAAAGAUUCAUCGUUCAAGACUCCACCUCCUCAGACACUACAGACUACAACAUAGACAGUGCUCAAAAAUAAGUCCACUUCCAUAGUUGAAGGACGCUUACUGCUGAGUCCAAAGAGGUUCAUACCAGUUACACAUAAUGGACAGAAGUGAAAGCACAUCUGUAAGCAUUGACUCUUGCGCAAUGAUCCUACGUGUUGUUCAAGCUGAUCGUGCAAGGAAAAUUAAACUUGAUGCACGACCAUCCUCUGUCAAUGCUCUCAUUCAAACUCUUAAAGAACAACUUCAGCUGGACCUUGAGUUCAGACUACAAUAUGAAGACCCUGAAUUUGAUAAUCAGCUAACUUAUUUGGAUGACAUUUCUGACUUGCCUCAAAAGGCAGUUGUGCAUAUCCUGCCAGUGGAAUCGGUUAUUUUCACUACAUCAACUGUCAUUCUCUCAGAUGUGUCAAACCCUGAGCGUAAU